CCCUGGUGCUGUCCCAGGGCCUGGCUCUGGGCAGCUCUUCUCAUGUUCUUCACAAGCAAGAUCAAGGGCGAGCCCGGCUUCCCGGCACUUCUGUCAUUUAUAUUCACUGCCCUGCUGUAGGUCAGGGAUAUGGAGGAAAAUAAUGUGUGCCCCAGUUUCCAAAGGGGUAAAGGAGGUUUGAAGAAGAGCAGGGUCCCUCCUGGCAAGGGCCAGGGGCAGAGGACGAGCUUGAGAAGGAGGGUCAGUGCAGUUAAGCUGGAGCUCUUGACAUUUUAAGAGCAGAAAAGAAUUCUGGAAAAAACUGGGACAGGAGCCAGGCUCGGCGAUGGGUGGAGUGAAAUCCGAGGGCAUCUGCGCCAGGGAACCUGCGGACCCGGCCGACCUGUCAGGUGCUAAAUAUCCCCCAGUGACUUAAGUCCUCUCCACUUAAGACAGUUCACCUGCUCCUGGCCUCUGCGAUUUCUGUUUUCUUUCUGAAAUGGCCGUGUGGCCAGGAAAUCUAUGUGUGUCACUCCGCCUGCUCCUAGCUCUUCCAACUUCAUCGACCAAGAACUGUUCCCAUGGGGUGGAAGUUCCAAACUGGCUUCUUAAAGAGACUUCUAAUUUCUUCCAAACUAAAUGAUAAAUCAACGAAGAAAACACAGGCCACCUUGCAAACCUCUUUGGGCUGCAGGUGCACUUCUGAGAGGAGUAAGGAGGAGUUUCUCCCCAGGAAGGGCCUGCCAAAAGAAGAGCAGUGUUCUGGGGUGGUGGUUCUUAAACGCUAGCAUGAGAAGGCACGGA
rnacentral:lncRNA from 1 species